rnacentral:rRNA from 1 species
CUAGCCUGCUCNCUGACAUAAAGUGUUAAAUAGCCGCGGUAUCUUGACCGCGAAAAGGUAGCAUAAUCAUUAUUUCCUUAAUUGGGAACUUGUAUGAAUGGUUGGACAAAGAAAAAUUUGUCCCUUGCACUGUAAUUAAAUUUAAAUUCUAAGGGAAAAGGCUUAGAUUAUCCAGAGGGACAAAAAGACCCUUAAAGGCUUUAUAAAUUUAUUAAUUUCGUUUAUUUUUUAUUAUAAUAAUGAUGAUAAGAGAAUUUAUUUGGUUGGGGCAACCGAAGUAUAAUUUUAAAUAACUGCUAUAAUUUAAUACAAUGAUUUUUGUCUUAUACAAUAAUUGAUCCUCAAAGAGAUUAAAGACCAAGUUACUUUAGGGAUAACAGCGUAAUUUAUCCUGAGAGUUCUUAUCAAAGGAAAAGUUUGCGACCUCGAUGUUGAAUUAAAAUGUCUACCUAGUGCAGCAGCUAGGAAAGAAGGUCUGUUCGACCUUUAAUUUUUUACAUGAUC